rnacentral:lncRNA from 1 species
AAACAGGGGAGCUCACUGCUUAUUGGGGAUAAGCAUCCAUUUUAGGAUAUUUUUGCUCAUCUUUUAUCUCUUCUAAUUGUAGGCGCCCUGAGGACAGCUUUUUACAUUUUGUUGCUUUCUGCAUCUCUGGACAUAUUGUGGAUGUUUAAUAAUUAUAUUUUUAAUGAUUGAAGGAAUAACACAGAAGGGAAUCCUGCAUUUAUUGAGCAGGGCGUUGGAAUGCAAAACUUUAAGAUACUUUAACUGUGAAAUUCUUGGAAGCAUUCAUCAUCCUGUGGAAAGCUAAAUUCAAUGGGGUCAGGAAAUCCAAAUGCAGGAAGAAAAAUGAAAACUUCAGCUAAAAUCAUUACAGUGGUUAAGGCAUUGAGCCGAGUUUGCAUCCGAGUCUGGAGUUGGUUUACAAGCAUACUGGAAAUAAAACUCAAUUGGGAGUGAGAAUCCAGGUGAACCGAAGUAAACGUGAACUCUUUGUGAACCAAAUACUACUGUACGCCUCUUCAAAGCCUACAGGCGCCUGAAAAUCUCCCAUAAAUCCAAGCUGCAUUGAAAGGAUUUGCUCCAAGCCUUCUACCAGUAGCUUGCAUCCACAUGCAUCAGAUUCAGCUGUCUCCUAAAUCUGCAAAGUGUUAUCUGCCUCACCGUGCACAAACUACUGUCCCAAACUGUAUUCAAUCCAGAUGGGAGGUUUUAUCACUUCCUGACUUCCCUUCCAUUGUAAGGAUGAAUAUUUUGAAACCAGGCAACUAGGAAAACCAUACCCCACUAAAUGGGAGCAUAUACUAUUUAGGGAAAACUUUCUAAUUGUCCCCCAGAAAAUGAAGAAAUUAUGCUCUUCUUGUACCCUGAUUGUACAAAAUGUUCAGCUCCCUGGGAUAUGCACCAGAUCACAUUCACAAGAGAACCUACCAUGGGUGUGUCCAGCGUCACGCACAAUUCUCAGUGAAACAGCUUAAUCUCCACACUUUUCUGUCUCACAAGCAAAUUAGGAUGCAAGUGAGGUUGAAAUUAUCACAGGAAUACAUGUUAUCCUAUUUUAAAAAAUAAUUUUCAAAUGCUGGCACUUCACUAUUAAUAACAACAAUUUACUUGUGACAGCUGAUAAGACACAUUGAUAUUUCAAUCCUGAUUCACUCAGACCACCACCACUCCUAUAAGUACCUCCAAUCAGGGAACUUGUCAAUCAUAAAGUGGAAGUUGGUUUAUGUUCUAUUUCCUCCUCAGGGACAGGGCCCAAGUCUUGAUCAUCACUUUACAUAAAUCAGUGCCCAGGCUAUUGCAGGGGUGCAAUAACACUUAUGUAAACCAAGGGAAAGGCACAUAAUAUGCCUAGAAUAUCUCUAGAAGGAUCCUCCAAGAAACUGCUAGCAGUGAUUGUCCCUCAACAGAGAAACUAGGGGUUGAGGUGAGACACUUGAUUUCACUGUUUUUUUUUGUUUGUUUGUUUGUUUGUUUACUAAUUAAACUUUUUA